AUCAUAUUCAUAGAUUUUGCAAGCUAGCACACUGUUUUUUUCUGCUGGAACGUGCAAGAGAAUGGCAUUAUAUAUCUUCAGCUCCAAUCUAUGCAACACACCGGUCAGAAUCUUGAGUCCCUCAAGCUCUGACGCAGUUUACAGUCACUACAUCUCUCAGGAAACGAUCUCUCCAAUUGAUGAGUGUAAAUUCUUAAACUCUUUUUUUCUUAGCGAAAACAAGCUUCGGUCGAUCCCUUCUGACUUAAGCUGGUUAGAACGCUUAAGACGUCUUUCUCUGGGUGGAAACUAUCUCUCUGGUAUGAUUCCGUCUGAGCUGUCUUGUUUUAGAGAAGAUGAUUUUGUCGGAAAUAACGGUCUUGCGAUAUAAGUGUGGAGGAUGUUGCGUUUUGAUGGUGAUUGUGAUUAAAGUGUUCGAGCUCUUCCAAAGGAGAGAGAAGUUGAGACGAUUAGGGAUCUUGUGUUGACAAAGGAGAAGUAAAAGGGGGAACCUCAAAGAAGUUGAGGAUUUGUAAGAAGAAGAAAUUGAAGCUCAAAGAAAAAGCAGUAGCAAAAGGAGUAGAGGUAGUUGUAGCUGGAAAGAAGAAGCGUUUUUGACCAAAGUUUCCGGUUUGUUCUCCGAAGAUAAAAUCAAGACCGAAGUAUUGGAGAGAGAUGAGACUGCUUUGAAGCAUCCAUUGCUGGAGAAUUGUGAAGAGAUUGAAGAAGAAGAAAGUGGUCAAAAGCGACAUAAUGAAAAUGACUGUGCUGAUAUAUAUUGUUCUUGUUAGAUAGACAUUUACAUAUAUUUUCGAGAUAAUACAAAUUUUAACCAGUUUUUAUUUUAUUUUUAUGCCAAUUAUGCCAGUUGAUAGAACCAGUACAUAUAUGGAUAUCAUUUCAUUUA